rnacentral:snRNA from 1 species
UUUAUAUUAUCCAACGUUCGAU